AUGCCUCCCAGGGUGAAUACAGGUAGUCCUGCUGAUAGUCUGCUUCUAUCUUACAGAGCAGUUUGUUGCUAUUUACCAUUGAAAAGCCUUCGAAGCAGAGAGGUGCUGUUACCAAUAACCUGCUUUUGGGCCGAAAGGGCCUGCACCUUCUCUCUACAGCCCAAGGGGAAUUUCAGGUAA
rnacentral:lncRNA from 1 species